GUGAGGAAUAUUGGUCAAUGGGCGAGAGCCUGAACCAGCCAAGUAGCGUGAGGGAUGACUGCCCUAUGGGUUGUAAACCUCUUUUGCAGGGGGGUAAAGUGGUCCACGUGUGGAUCAUUGCAAGUACCCUGCGAAUAAGGAUCGGCUAACUCCGUGCCAGCAGCCGCGGUAAUACGGAGGAUCCGAGCGUUAUCCGGAUUUAUUGGGUUUAAAGGGAGCGUAGGCGGGGGUUUAAGUCAGCUGUGAAAUGCCGGGGCCCAACCAUGGAACUGCAGUUGAAACUGGACCUCUUGAGAGUACAUAAGGAAGGCGGAAUUCGUGGUGUAGCGGUGAAAUGCAUAGAUAUCACGAAGAACUCCGAUUGCGAAGGCAGCUUUCCGGGGUACAUCUGACGCUGAAGCUCGAAAGUGCGGGAAUCAAACAGGAUUAGAAACCCGUGUAGUCC
rnacentral:rRNA from 1 species